GCUGGGCCCUGACAGUGCAGCUCCUACUCCUGCUCCCUGGGGCUGGGGAGAUCAUCGGGGGACGGGAAGCCCGGCCUCACUCCAGACCCUACAUGGCUUUCGUGAACAGAGAGAUAAGACGAAAUCGAGGAAGCAGAUCCUCCCCCGCUCUGAGUGGGGAUUCCAGGAAACUUUGAAGAUUCCCGAGCCUGCCAGCGAUGCUGUGGGAACGUGACCAAGCCUUUCAACAGAAGCGAGCAGCAGAAGUACUCAAUCCAUUACCUGAGCAGGCGCUCAGCCCGAAUGAGCAUCGAAAGUAGCGUCUUCUGAAAAGCAACAAAG